AUAUUUCUUUUUCUACUACUAAAUAUUUUAAAUGAUGAUUCAACAAAGGGGUUUGUGAAUUCUUUCACAACUCACUUUAUUUUUCUAUACUCCCACUUUGUUAUUCCUUUUCUUCAUUCACGUCUUUUGUUUGGUGUUGUGACCCACUGAAUUUAACUAGGCCUUUCUGUGUGGCCACAGGCUUGGAGCUCUGCACUUGAGUUUUGUGAGAUCAUGCUUUUGACACACAACUGAAGACAGAGGUUGCUCCUCCCCCAGAAACAGUAGCAAUAGCUCAGCAUGGGAAGGUCAGAAUUCAUUAACACUUUCCUGAUCCAGGAUUGGGUUUUGACAGGCCCAGUUUUGUGUAGGCCUAAUGCAGGCAAACAUAGCUACUGUGCGACCAUGGUUGCAAUAGCUGGGGCAUGUCCUAAAGGAACCCUUUUCUAUGUCUUCUCACUAUCUUCUGGCUCUUACACUUUUUUUUUCUGCUUCCCUUUCUAUAAUGGUGACUGGACAUUACUGGGGUGACAUCAAUAUCUUAUUUAGAGAUGAUUGCUUCAGCUAUCAUGUAUUUUAAGCAUCCCAAGCAGCCAUGAAUCUCUGUAUUUACCACAGACUCUUACCUAAUUAGCAAAACACUUUUCAGAUAAAAUUGCCUUGCUAGUUUUCUAAGUAAGAUUUUAGGGACAUUGAUGUGCUAAUUUGCACAUAAAUGUCAAUGGACAGGUAUUUAUAUUGUCUCAAUAUAAACUUUAGCUGUUUAACAGUACCAUUAUAAACAUUCAUGGGCAACCCUUUUGUGGUGUUCCAGCUUUAGUUAUUUUUUAAGCCAUAUCUAGAGAAAAGCUUAUGUGUCAUAAAUGUGUGGCACUUUUAGUUUCAGAAGUUACUUCAUAACAAACCUCCUAACUGGUUUACAGAGUGGCUGAAAGAUCUUGCAAUUCUAACAGCAAUGUAAGAGAACGCUAAAUCCUUCACAGUUUCACCAAAAUAGGAUUGUCAGUCUUUUCAGUUUUAGCUGUUCCAGUGGGUGUGCAGUGGCGUCGCUUUGUGGUUUGAAUUUGCAUUUUUCUAAUGACUAAUAGUGUGAACACUUCUAUGUGCUUAUUUGCCAUUUUAAUACAUUUGUGGGUGACAAUUCUUGUUUACAGCUGUGUCCAUCUCACUGGCAGUUUCUUUGUCUUGUGGCUUUGCGGGGCUUCUUGAUCCCUUUGAUGCAGAAAUCAUGUUCAUCCCAUGCUUAGCAGAUUUUUCUUUUUCUUUGUUUCUGAAGCUUUGAUUCUGUUAGUGGCGGUGCAGAAGAUGAAGUUUAAUGUUGACAAAGCAUAGCUACCAACUUCUUUUGUGCUUCAUACUCUGUCUAUAUGCUCUAAGGCCCUAUGCAUUUUUAAAGAAUUUGUGUAAUUUUUUUCAUAUUAACUAUGAUUCAUUGGGAGUUAACUCUUUAUGCUGUGACGUAAGAGUAAGAUUUUCUUUUAAAUGAUUAAUUGGUGCAGAACUUUUCACUGGAAGGGCUAUUUUCCCUGUCAAAAAUAGCUCUUUAUUAAAACAAUUGUCCUAUCACCAAUCUUUCUACAAUCUACCUUUAAUAUCACCUAUCCAUUUGCCUAUCUAGUAUCCUUCUAAUAUCACUAGCUUUAUUCUUUAAUCUACUGUGUCGCCUGAAGACCAUCACUGGAGAGUCACGUGAACUCUUUGGCUUGUUAACCAUAUCUCUCUAUGCACAUGUAUGCAUAUUUAUAAUUGUCUGAUGGUGUAGACAACACAGACCUUCAAUACUAAGCUUGCUAUCAGAACUCUGAUGGAGAUCACUGGCUUACACUUAAGGGCUUGCAGGUCUUUUUCCAUUUCUAGAGGCUGCCCCACCCAGCUACUUACUCUAGUCUUCCUCCAUCUUUCAAGGCCAACAGAACUGAAAGGUUUUCAUCAUACAAUCCCCCCUCAUUCGGUUUUCCUUCUGAUUUUUUUCUACCAUUGUACAUGACUUUUAUGUUUACUUUGGACCCAACUAGAUAAAGCAGGAUUAUCUCCUUAAUUUAAGGCUACCUUUCUUAGAAGCUUUGAUUUCUAUCUGCCAUAUUAGCUCCCUUCUGUUAUGUAAAUUGUGUGUUUACUGGUUUCAAUGAGGAGUGUGUGGAUAGCUUUGAGUGACCAUUGUUUUGAGUAGCAACCUAGAAAGUGUGUGUGUGUGUGUGUGUGUGUGUGUGUGUGUGUGUGUGUGUGUAUGUGUGUGUGUGUGUGUGUGGGGGGACAUGCAUGCUCUCAUGAUGAGUUUCCCACAAGGAAAGCAAUGCUAAGGAAACAUCUAGUGGAAAAACAAGAGACACUAGAGAGAUGAAAGGUUGAAGGGAGGAUAAAUUACAAAGGAGAAAUUUUGAAAUUGUUUGACAUCAGGUGUGAUAAUUAAGGUCAUUCAGGUCAUCCUUAGAGCAGUGAUACUUAGUGUGGGAAGGGUCAGGGUGUGGCAUUUCUACAUGUGAGUCAAGGCUAGUAGUUUGUUAAUAGGUUUUCACUGUACUUCUAGAGUUAAUUUGUAGCACUAUAUUUGCUGUGAUGUUAUUUGAGCUUAAUUUUUUAAAAGUGUAAAGCACUUUAUAUUUUUUAUGGUUUUGGACAAACACUGAUGAAUCAGUAGAGAAUUCUAGGUCAUUAAUGCAAAAGUGAGGACUGGAUUUUAGAAAGACAAACAGCUGUGUUUCCUCUUACUGAAAGGAGUGAGGAGACCGUGGGAUGAGAGUUUGUUUACACGGGCUUCAGUGGUAAGCUUGCUCAGACAGGAAUGUUCUAGUAGGAACAUUCUUCCUACUGGAAACCCCUGGCCUUUGACAACCACCAGGCACAUCUCUUAUAUUUAAGGAUUAAACUAUUUUGAUGAACAUUGCAACAGUUAAGCAUCAUUGCUUUGACCGUUCUAGAGAGAAGGGACAACUAUGCCUUUCCUACUGGUAGAUUACUUCAGGGUUUUAUGAAAAAAUCUCUGGGAAGGGUUGACAAUUACAUAAAGUCUGCAUUUCCCCCUGACAUAUUUAGCUAGAGUUCUACUUGAAAUUGCAACAUCAGGUAUGUUCCAUGUUUAUAAAGAUGUAGAGCCAUCUUUCCUCUUUGUAUUUCCACAUACCUUCUACUUUUUCCCUCUUUCCCUUCAAUCUUUUCUCCCUUGCUUUUGUGUAUCAUUUAGACAAGAUUGGCCUCAACUGCACUGUUUAUCUGAGGAUGAUCUUGAAUUUCUGGUCUUCCUGUUCACAUCCCCAUGUGAUGAGAUGACAAGUGUGUGCCACUAUGCCCAGCUUGUGCAGAGCUCAAAAUUAACUCAGAGCCCUGAGCGUGCUAGGGAAGAAGUCCAACUGAGCUGUCUCUCUAACCCACUAUCCUUUAUCUUUAUCUGGGAUCUCUUAGCAAUAAGGUGAGGUUUGACAAUGUUUUAACCAAUGAAAAGGAACAUGUAGACAACAACUUAUAGAGUCUAGUUUAAUCAUUUAAAAUUUAUUUAAAAAGUUUAUACAAUAUAUUUAGAUUAUAUUCUUUUCCUUUCUCCAAUCCCUUCUAGAUCCUCCCCACCUCCUACUCUCUCAACGUCAUGUUCUCUCUCAAAAAAUCCCCCUAAAACAAAAAAUGAUACC
rnacentral:lncRNA from 1 species